rnacentral:rRNA from 1 species
UACGUAGGGUGCGAGCGUUGUCCGGAAUUACUGGGCGUAAAGAGCUCGUAGGUGGUUUGUCGCGUUGUUCGUGAAAACCUGAGGCUUAACCUUGGGCGUGCGGGCGAUACGGGCAGACUGGAGUACUGCAGGGGAGACUGGAAUUCCUGGUGUAGCGGUGGAAUGCGCAGAUAUCAGGAGGAACACCGGUGGCGAAGGCAGCACUCUGGGACGUGACUGACGCUGAGACGCGAAAGCGUGGGGAGCAAACAGG